ensembl:lncRNA
CUUUAAGAGUUCUGAUCAAUGGAAUUGCCAUCACACUUUGGGGGCUCGCCCUUGGUUACUUAACCUGGUGUCUCAAAAUCAUUUCCUAGCUGGUUAUCCGUGCACGGCCGGAGACUGGGUCCCGGAGCCCAAAUCCUCCCCCGCUCGUGGACUGGCUGCGAAAGGGGUGAGAGUCAGGGCGCCCGGCUUAAAUGAUUCUUUGGGAUUCAUCAGUACUAGUACCCGGGCUUAAAUUUUAAGGGCACGAUGCAGUUAAAUAUGGUUUGGGUAUAUGUGUUAGGGCACAUUCUGGUAAAUGUGUUAGGGCACAUUUAAAAUCUGCAAACAAGGUUAGGGCCUUGAAUGUCUCACUUAUGGGCCGACAGGUCUAUUAACGAAGUUAUGGGCACGUUAAUUGAGAUGAGUGUUAGGGCACUUCUAUGCGUUAUUGUGCGGGUAUAUGUGUUAGAGCACUUUCAGUUAAAAUGAACUAAAUUAAUAAAAAUGGGUUUUUUCGCUGUGCAUGUUUUUUGCUGCAUUUGAUGUGGGGUAAGGAUUAUGGUACAUAUUUGGCAGCGAGGUUAAUAUUUCUGUUGUCUGGGCAUGUGAACAAAUGUAUCUUUGAGAGUUAUUAGGUUUUCCCGUAAAAUGGCGUUUUCAUUCGGUGGUGGAUGCGUGGCCUGCCGGGCAGAUUGGAGGAAUAUGGCCGUGGUAUGGACGUUGCAGAAGGUAUAAUAUGAAGUUGUUUGGAAGGUGUAGGCUACUGUAUGUUGAAAGUCUGGACACUUUGGGGAAGUUUGUGUGGGUUUAUUGAUCUCUGUGUUGUAGUUCUUUUCGCUCAGGUUGGAUGGAUCGUCCCUCUGACCACUCCCGCAGUGUUCCGCCAGGCCGAUCGCUGGGACUCCUUGGAGGUUUGCGUAGUCCUAUCCCGCCCGGCGACGCUACAUCGGAGAACAUUUCCCUACAAUUGGCAUAGCCAACCCUGCUGGUGUCCGAGUUUGCCCACGGUUCCUUUCGCUCUAUGGACCUCUUUGUUGUGAACGUGGUGAUGCAGUAGGCCGUCUGGAGGCCGUUUUGCUCCACUUAGGAAGUGUUGAGCGUGUCUACGCGGGUCUAGAAAAGGUCUAAAAUGGGAGAGUAGUACACACCAGAUCUGUGAUCGCCGGUGUUUGCAGCAACUGGGACCAAAUAGGACUACAGACCCGGGGUUGAGGAAGAGACUAUGCUGACCGCUACGUUUACAUUUAUGAAGAUACCGCUAGACAUUCGAAUGGACAUUCGAUUUGGGAAGAUACCCAUGGGAAUCAAUACAAUGGCUGUUUAUGUAUUGUUCCCGCAAGAAUAGAGGCAGUUUCGGUUGCCUCUUUUGGCCUGGCCGUGGGCAAUCCAACGGGAACAUGCAGGAACUCUAAACCGCCUGAGGGAGGGGUGCUGAUGGUCAGAGGAGACGGACCAGAGAGCAUCGACUGGUGUGGUGGUUAGAAGCACAGAUUCUGCUUGGUAACGACCCAAAGGUCGCCUGACCUUUUCAAGGUGACUUCAGUACUCACUACAGCAUUUGAACUCACUCCAGCAUUUGAACAGUCACCUUGCCAGGUAAGGAACACUACAUACAUUGCAUUGCAAGCUUGAUUCGUUGACUCGAAUUCUAAGAGCUGGAAAAGUUGGUGGAUGUAUAACUGUAGCUAGCUAGAAAACGUCAGCUAACCGCUAGCUAACAAAGCGUGACCAGUAAUUCAGUGCAGUGAAAAUGAAAAUACUAUAUAAAAAGCAUACAUGGGUAA